rnacentral:tRNA from 1 species
GGAGAUAGAGCUCAGUGGUGCUGCGUCUGCCUCGCAAGCACAAGGUCCUGAGUUCAAUCCUCUGUAUCCUCC